ACGAACGCUGGCGGCGUGCCUAAUACAUGCAAGUCGAGCGGAUCUUUGAGAGCUUGCUCUCAAAGAUUAGCGGCGGACGGGUGAGUAACACGUGGGUAACCUGCCUGUAAGAUUGGGAUAACUCCGGGAAACCGGAGCUAAUACCGGAUAACAUUUUGAACCGCAUGGUUCGAAAUUGAAAGGUGGCUUUUGCUACCACUUACAGAUGGACCCGCGGCGCAUUAGCUAGUUGGUGAGGUAAUGGCUCACCAAGGCAACGAUGCGUAGCCGACCUGAGAGGGUGAUCGGCCACACUGGGACUGAGACACGGCCCAGACUCCUACGGGAGGCAGCAGUAGGGAAUCUUCCGCAAUGGACGAAAGUCUGACGGAGCAACGCCGCGUGAGUGAUGAAGGCCUUCGGGUCGUAAAGCUCUGUUGUUAGGGAAGAACAAGUACCGUUCAAAUAGGGCGGUACCAUGACGGUACCUAACCAGAAAGCCACGGCUAACUACGUGCCAGCAGCCGCGGUAAUACGUAGGUGGCAAGCGUUGUCCGGAAUUAUUGGGCGUAAAGGGCUCGCAGGCGGUUCCUUAAGUCUGAUGUGAAAGCCCACGGCUCAACCGUGGAGGGUCAUUGGAAACUGGGGAACUUGAGUACAGAAGAGGAGAGUGGAAUUCCACGUGUAGCGGUGAAAUGCGUAGAGAUGUGGAGGAACACCAGUGGCGAAGGCGACUCUCUGGUCUGUAACUGACGCUGAGGAGCGAAAGCGUGGGGAGCGAACAGGAUUAGAUACCCUGGUAGUCCACGCCGUAAACGAUGAGUGCUAAGUGUUAGAGGGUUUCCGCCCUUUAGUGCUGCAGCAAACGCAUUAAGCACUCCGCCUGGGGAGUACGGUCGCAAGACUGAAACUCAAAGGAAUUGACGGGGGCCC
rnacentral:rRNA from 1 species